rfam:Clostridium grantii DSM 8605 genome assembly, contig: EJ34DRAFT_scaffold00030.30
AGAAUCAAGAAGAAACAGAGCUGUUUCUCACCUUACAGCAUUGCUAGUGAGGUUGCAUGUAUGGAUUUAAUUAACCAUGUUAUGUAUGGAACGGCUUACGUCGUUCCUUUUUUAUUUAU